CCAAUCCGAUCCGAUCCGAGUCUUAUCCGGAAGAACUCGUGCUCUACCCCGUUCUGCAGGUUUCCUUGUCCCCUUCACCCUCCUCACACGUUCCCAGAGAAUCGCUUCCCCAAUUCGAGGCGUUGAAGUGUGCUGUCUUGUGAUGUGAAGGAGAAUUGUGUCAUGGGCCGAGCAGGCAGAUCGGGUAUAGGAGCAACCCGCAUCACCAACCGAAAGGAGAAGUGACUUAUCCAAGAUUGGUAUCUGUGAUACAACCUACUGGAAUCCCACUUGCAACUAUAAUUGCAACAUCAACCACUACUGCAGUCUUUUUAUAAAUUAUUCUCCCAUAAAUAAGAACUCCUACCUGUAAUUCCUUCAAGCUGAAGAUAAUAAGAAUCUCUAUUCUUUCUUAAUCUCA